rnacentral:rRNA from 2 species
UGAACGCUGGCGGCGCGCCUAACACACGCAAGUCGAACGGUUAAAGCAUCUUCGGAUGUGUAUAAAGUGGCGAACGGCUGAGUAACACGUGGGCAACCUGCCCUUUGCACUGGGAUAGCCUCGGGAAACCGAGGUUAAUACCGGAUACUCCAUAUUUGUCGCAUGGCGAAUAUGGGAAAGCUCCGGCGGCAAAGGAUGGGCCCGCGGCCUGUUAGCUAGUUGGUGGGGUAGUGGCCUACCAAGGCAAUGAUGGGUAGCCGGGUUGAGAGACCGACCGGCCAGAUUGGGACUGAGACACGGCCCAGACUCCUACGGGAGGCAGCAGUGGGGAAUCUUGCACAAUGGGCGAAAGCCUGAUGCAGCGACGCCGCGUGCGGGAUGAAGGCCUUCGGGUUGUAAACCGCUUUCAGCAGGGACGAGGCCGCAAGGUGACGGUACCUGCAGAAGAAGC